CGACGUACACAAGGGGGUUGAGCGUUCCGUGGGGAGAGUGCGAGGUCAGGCCAUGAACUUGGGAGAUGGUUUAAAGCUUGAAACUGAAUUACUGGAUGGAAAAACCAAGCUAAUAUUGUCUCCAUAUGAACAUAAAUCAAAAAUUUCUGUGAAGUUAUAAAGAAUAAGCUUCUGGUGUUUUAACAGAUGGGAAAUAAAGCCAAGAUUGCAAAAUGUCCUUUAAGAACAAAAACUGGGCACAUUCUAAAAUCAACACAAGAUACUUGUAUUGGGAGUGAAAAACUUUUGCAAAAGAAGACAGUUGGUUCAGAAACAUCACAGGCAAAAGGUGAAAAAAAUAGAAUGACUUUUUCAUCCACUAAGGAUUUAUGUAAACAAUGUAUAGAUAAAGACUGUCUUCAUAUCCAGAAAGAGAUUUCACCUGCAACCCCUAAUAUGCAGAAGACUAGAAACACCGUAAAUACAUCUCUAGUAGGUAAACAGAAGCCUCACAAAAAACACAUCACAGCUGAAAACAUGAAGAGCAGUUUGGUGUGUCUAACACAAGAGCAACUACAACAGAUUUUGAUGACUGUAAACCAAGGAAAUAGAUCUCUUUCCCUGACUGAGAAUGGAAAGGAGGCAAAAA
rnacentral:sRNA from 1 species